rnacentral:tRNA from 1 species
UCAGAAAUAGUUUUAAAUAUAGAAUAAUGGUUUUGGAUACUAUUGGUGCAAUUUUUGCUUUCUGA